CAGCGCCGCGGACGCCGCCAUCCUCAAAGCUUCCUCGCCCGCGCGACUGUCAGCUGUGCACAGCCCAGCCAAUGACCGCGAGCCUGACGGAAGCCCGGAAGGGCCACGUCUCACCGCCAGGACGUUUGCGUUAUCGGGCUGUGGUUUAGCGGAGAGUUUAAGCAGGCUCCGAGGAGUCUACGGAUGGAGAAAUGGGCCAAGGUGCAUGGCUUGUCAGUAGAGGUUAAGCUACCAACUCUGCUAUUGAUCCUGCCGUGUCUGCAUCCCCAGAGUUCGCUGCAGAACGCAGUUCUGGCUUUGGGCAUGUUGGUCCAAUCCCUUCUACAGUGGAUUCAUUGAGCACCUACUGUAUACUGUUCAUUGAGUGCCAAGCAUUGAACUAGGCACUGGGGACUCAAACAGACAAAUAUGUUUUGUCAGCAAUUAAAAUGGACAAGUAUUUGUUGAGACUCUACUUGGGGUCCAGCAUAGCAUAGAGAGAAAGAUAAAAUUACCAGAAAGUGUAUAGUUAGGUUUCUCACGAGAGAUUAAGGAGACAAUGCAUUUUCACAAGAACCUUUAUCUUCCUCAGAAGAAAAGGGGGGGGGGGGCUCGUGUUAAGGGGUGGGAGUAGCAGAGUAGGGCUGGAAAAUGCGAGAAGCUUCCUGAGCCCGCAGAGAAGAGGAGGGCAUUUCAGCAGAGGUCAGAAUGAGCAAAGGUUGAGAACCAGAAGAGCGAUUUGACUGGCGUGUUAAAGACAGUCUGGAAGUGAAACUAGAAGCAGCUUUGGUGAGGGGCUUUGGCCUGUGCACUUAUCUGCAGAAAAAUGGGUAGCCAUUAAAUGUUAGGGGUUUGAGUGUUUGCUUUUAAGAUUGCAGUCAGAAUGACAGUCUGAUUCCAGAGAGAUUCGGGGAAGACUACACAGGAACUUACUGCAGUAAUCAUAAGCAAACCCCGUGAGAGUGAAAAGGCGUUGGAAAUGAAGACAGCACAUGGGUGAGAGUUACAUUCCAAUAGUAGACUGUUCAAGAGCUGGCAAAAGAUCGAAUUUAAUUUUCCUUCCUAAUUAUGUUUUACUGAAAUUAUUAUUUAAAUUAGUUGGCAUUUCUGGAGCAACCGAACAACACUGUAACUGAGAGAAGCCAGAUUGCAAAUUAAAAGUGAAUAAUCCCCACGUGGAUAAUUGAGUCAAUUAUACAGUAUGUUGAACACAUACAAAUAUACUUAGUUCCACAACACUCCACACACUCCCCCAAUGUAUGCAUAUCUGAAAAAGAUGUAUGUGAAUCUACAUAAUUAUGGGUCUGUGAUCCAAACACAGAUUGCCUUACCUGGCAGAACUUUAGAGGGGUCCAAUUUCUCCUCAGUCUUUGAAACAGUCUCCUUGUGUCUUGAUUUGUUGCCAAAAUAUAAAGUCACUAAUCAGUUAGACCUAGCUCAGAUCCCUAGUGAACUUCAGCCCUUCCUUGACUGCCUUAAAAAACACAGCUGGGCUUUAAUAAAAGAGGUCAAAUCCUGA